GUGCUUUUGUCACCUGCCGGUGCUCAAGAGGCUCUCAGCUGAAAGUCAAGGCCAGCUGAAACUCUGAUGCAUGUCUCUGUCCUAUUUCCUGGGAAUCAGUUAUAUUAUCUUCUAUCGAAAUCCUUUUGUUUGCCUUCUGGAUCAACUAAUCCUGAAAGUCCCAAAGGAAAACUAAAGAGAGAACAAAAACUGCAGAAAAGUGAGAAACUUGCCAACUUAGAUUUUUUCCCCUAAACAUUCACUCUGCAUUGGCCUGGGGAAAAGGAUUAGUCACGAACAUGUUUAUUUUUUAUUUUUAAGACAGGGUCUUUCUCUAUUGCCCAGACUGGAGGGCAGUGGUGUGAUCAUAGUCCACUGCAACCUUGAACUCCUAGGAUCAAGGGAUCCUCCCUCCUCAGCCUCCUGAGUAACUUGGGUCUAUAGGCAUGCAGCACCACACCCAGUUAAUUUUGUUUGUUUGUUUUUUGUAGAGACAGAGUCUUGCUAUGUUUCCCAGGCUGGUCUUGAACUCAUGGCCAGCCACGAGUAUCAAGUGAUACUCCUGCCUUGGCCUCCCAAAAUGCUGGGGUUACAGGCAUGCGUCAUUGCUCCUCAUCUUUACUGAUAAUUUUAACCUCUUCUUUCCACAUUUGAGUAUUUGAUCAACCUGGUAUUUAUUUUGGAAGUAUGCAUCUACUUUAACUUUUCAAUAAGAAAAGCCACCAUCUUUCUCCUAUACCAAGUUUCUAAAUAUACAUAUAU
rnacentral:lncRNA from 10 species